GAUGAAGAACGCAGCGAAAUGCGAUACGUAAUGUGAAUUGCAGAAUUCAGUGAAUCAUCGAAUCUUUGAACGCAUAUUGCGCUCUCUGGUAUUCCGGAGAGCAUGCUUGUUUGAGUAUCAGUAAACACCUCAACUUCCAUAUCUUUUUUGAAAUGGGAGUUGGACUUGAGUGAUCCCAACGCUUUUCCUCACCGAAAAGUGGCGGGUUACUUGAAAUGCAGGUGCAGCUGGACUUUUCUCUGAGCUAUAAGCAUAUCUAUUUAGUCUGCCUAAAAAACAGAUUAUUACCUUUGCUGCAGCUAACAUAAAGGAGAUUAGUUCUUGUGCUGACUGAUGCAGGAUUCACAAAGACGGCUUCGGCCGACUUUGUAAACUCGAUCUCAAAUCAAGUAAGACUACCCGCUGAACUUAAGCAUAUCAAUAAGGGGAGGA
rnacentral:misc_RNA from 1 species